rnacentral:misc_RNA from 1 species
CGCGCUCGCGGUCAUUCUCCCAACACUGUCCAUGCUCGGGCUCUAUCAGGGCGGCCGCGCAGUCCAGUUCGCGAGCACCGCACCCGAAUGGCGUGCGGAAAACCUGUCGCGUGACAAGGUCGGAACCGGCGCCGAACAGGCCGCGCUCGAACAGAUCAGCUCCUUUACGCUCUAUGGGUAUUUCGGCCUGAUGGGCCUCGCCCUUGUCGCCCGCGGGGUCCGGGCGCUGAUGGAGCGCCGCCGGGGUCUCGUCAAGCUGUCCUAUGGCAACGGCAAG